UGGCUGCGCCCUCUCGACAUCUCGUUGGGGGUGGCCAUGUUUAAAUCUGAGCCGUACAGCGGUGAUUAGGCCCUUUGUUAGACCAAAGGGUUAAGCUCUUUUAGGGCUGGGAGAAGCAAGUGCUCCUGGGUCCGUAAACACUGACGUCCCUGCUGUUUUUAACUUCUCAGGAGCCCAAACCUCCUGUGUUCAAUAUGGAGGCACCCUGACCUCCAAACUGAACUUUCUUUGUCUCCAGCAGCGCAGGCGCUGAGCUGGAGAACCCCGGAGAGACGCUCUUCCCUUGGGGAGCAUGAGGCCACCAGAAGAAGGGGUGAGAACUCCGGAGAGGGCGGAGCCAUGGCUUCCUACGGCGAAAUAACACCUUGUGUUCAUCUGACACUUGCCUUUGUUUGGACCCUACCCUGGAUCCCUGAAGGAACAGCCUUAGCCUGGGAACCCCUCUACCAUGGAAUGACACAGCAAGAGGUUCACAGCAUGAACCUGGAAGAGGACCUUCAUCAGAACCUGACCAUACUGGCACCCUGAUCUUGAAGUUCCAGCUUCCAGUACUAUUUUAUUUAUUUAUUUGACAGAGAGAGCAUGCACACAAGCAGGAGGAGUGGCAGGCAGA